rnacentral:misc_RNA from 1 species
AAGGAGCACCAUUUCCUAGCCGAAUGAGCUUGGGAACAUAAAGUGAGUUUCUGUAGUGGUUACUCGCUUGGUGAAUAUGUUUUAUAAAUCCUGUCCACCCCGUGGAUAGGUAGUCGGCAAAACGUCGGACUGUCAAUAGAAUUGAAACGCUGGCACACUGUUGGGUUCUGAGGCAACACAUUGUGUUGUCACCCUGCUUGGUGGUGGGGUGUGGUCUUUGACUUA